rnacentral:rRNA from 1 species
UGAGGAAUAUUGGUCAAUGGGCGGAAGCCUGAACCAGCCAAGUCGCGUGAGGGAAUAAGGCCCUACGGGUCGUAAACCUCUUUUGCCGGGGAGUCAAGGGCGGGG